UAAGCUUGGUGCUACCUCUUUUCUUUUGUUUGUUAUUUUCUUUGAAUAAGAGGAUUGAAAGUUUUUGGAUAUUGUGAAGUGAAUUAUGGAAAUGUGAUUAGUAUUAUUUGAGAAGAAGAAAGAUUGAAUGCUGAAAUCUGAUUGUAGUUCAGCAUAGAGAAUGAGUCUAUGUUUGUGUGAAACAUUGUAAUGUGAAUGGCAGUUCUAUGUGAAGAAUUCCAGAGAUUGGAACAAGGGUAAUUAUGUACUGAAAGCUGUGAAGGCACAAUAUUACAGUUGGAGAUUAUGAGGGUGAAUAUAUUGGUGGAAAUAGCAGUUAUUAGUAUGACUGAAUUGCUGUAAGGAAGAGAUCGAUAAAGUGAAGGAAGAGAUUAUAGUUUCCUUC
rnacentral:lncRNA from 1 species